rnacentral:rRNA from 1 species
UACGUAGGGGCCUAGCGUUGUCCGGAAUCAUUGGGCGUAAAGAGCUCGUAGGCGGUUCGGCAAGUCACGUGUGAAAUCUCCACGCUUAACGUGGAGGCGCCACGUGAAACUGCCGUGACUCGAGUCCGGUAGGGGAGUGUGGAAUUCCCGGUGUAGCGGUGAAAUGCGUAGAUAUUGGGAGGAACACCAGUGGCGAAGGCGGCUCACUGGACCGGUACUGACGCUGAAGCGCGAAAGCGUGGGGAGCAAACGGG